AAUUUUUACUAAUUUAUUAAAAGCAUAGAAGUCUAAAAAUAUAAUUUGUAAAUACAACAUUCCAUUAACUAUACAGUACUGAGAUCGUGGAAAAUACUCUAUAUAAUACUAGAAUGCCUAAUGUUUCCUCCUUUAUUACAUGGCAGCUCUGCCCAAACACCAUGGAUAUGUUGAUUCAAUAGGAAAUGGAAGGCAUUCUGGCUUUGUUGACAAUUUGAGCAACAAACGACAUUGACAUUUCUUGUGUGGGGAUGGGACUCGGGGCCUCUUACACAUGCAAUAUUAGCAAGCCCUCUGCCACUCAGUGUUUUCUUGAAGUGAUUUUUAACCUAAUUCCAUCUAUAAAAGAUUAGGCCAGAUCAUGAUGAAGAUUGUAGUUUUAAAAGGUAGUUCCUACUUAGAAUGAGAAUCAGAAAUGUUAUUUUUUGGAAGCACUGCAGACUUGGGAACAAAGAGAAUAGUUCAGUCUUGCACUGCAUGGUAUCUGCACUCAGCAGUUUCUUCCUGCUGGCGUGUUCAAAGGACAGUGCAAUAGAAAUUCAGUAUCUGGCAUCGUUGGUUUUCUUGGCUUUGUGCAUGUUAAACCUGGUAUUUCUAUUGAUACAGCAUUUUUUAUAGGUAUUUGUUAAUUCAGUUUGAUAGACUUAAAUAGUAAAAAUAAUGCUUUUAUUUUUUCUAAGGUGUUAGCACUUGAGAACCAGGAAGAGCCAUUUGCCCCAAAAGUAUAAAGCUUUGUUUCUAUUGCUUCUGGCUGCUUGCUUCUUCCUAUUUGCUCCUAGGAUCCUAAAAUCAAUUACUUGAAGGAAUUAAAUCCCAAAUAUCCUAGAUAAAGAACGGUGAAAUCAUCAGUAUUCCAUAAUUCAAGUGGAAAAAGAAUGAUGGCAAG